UGGGGAAUUUUGGACAAUGGGCGAAAGCCUGAUCCAGCCAUGCCGCGUGCAGGAUGAAGGCCUUCGGGUUGUAAACUGCUUUUGUACGGAACGAAAAGACUCUGGUUAAUACCUGGGGUCCAUGACGGUACCGUAAGAAUAAGCACCGGCUAACUACGUGCCAGCAGCCGCGGUAAUACGUAGGGUGCAAGCGUUAAUCGGAAUUACUGGGCGUAAAGCGUGCGCAGGCGGUUAUAUAAGACAGAUGUGAAAUCCCCGGGCUCAACCUGGGAACUGCAUUUGUGACUGUAUAGCUAGAGUACGGCAGAGGGGGAUGGAAUUCCGCGUGUAGCAGUGAAAUGCGUAGAUAUGCGGAGGAACACCGAUGGCGAAGGCAAUCCCCUGGGCCUGUACUGACGCUCAUGCACGAAAGCGUGGGG
rnacentral:rRNA from 1 species